AUGCAGCAACUCUAUAGAGUUCUUGACGAGCACAAGGCCAGAGCCGACGUGGUCUUGCUUGCGGCUGCGAAGAAGAAAGCUCGUCAGUUGCAGUACGAGGUGCGCUGGGUUGCCGUCUCGCAGUACUACCACUACUACCUGCACCAAAAGAUGACCAAAAGUCAAGCGCAGAAGCAGCGACUUACCUUGAAUAGGGAGCAGUUCAUGAUGGUAACUAUUACUAACUUUUCAUUGUUUCAAGCAGUCAACUCUAUGUUUCGUGCUCACAUGUCAUGCUUCCAAAAUUUGCAUAGGUUGUUCCUCGUUGGUGCUAUGGAAGGCAUGACGGAUGGGCGAGUUUGGUGGAUAGGUGGCUCGGCGCCGAUGUAG
rnacentral:rRNA from 1 species